GAUGAACGCUGGCGGCGUGCCUAAUACAUGCAAGUCGAGCGAACAGACGAGGAGCUUGCUCCUCUGACGUUAGCGGCGGACGUGUGAGUAACACGUGGAUAACCUACCUAUAAGACUGGUAUAACUUCGGGAAACCGGAGCUAAUACCGGAUAAUAUAUUGAACCGCAUGGUUCAAUAGUGAAAGACGGUUUUGCUGUCACUUAUAGAUGGAUCCGCGCCGCAUUAGCUAGUUGGUAAGGUAACGGCUUACCAAGGCGACGAUGCGUAGCCGACCUGCGAGGGGGGUAGGCGACACGGGAAGUGAGACACGGUCCAGGGGCCUAAGGGAGGCAGCAGUAGGGAAUCGUCCGCAAUGGGCGAAAGCCUGACGGAGCAACGCGGAGCGAGUGAUAGAGGUCUUCGGAGCGUAAAACUCUGUUAUUAGGGAAGAACAAAUGUGUAAGUAACUAUGCACGUCUUGACGGUACCUAAUCAGAAAGCCACGGCUAACUACGUG
rnacentral:rRNA from 1 species